AUUGAACGCUGGCGGCAUGCCUUACAUAUGCAAGUCGAACGGUAACAGGUCUUCGGAUGCUGACGAGUGGCGCACGGGUGAGUAAUACAUCGGAACGUGCCCGAUCGUGGGGGAUAACGAAGCGAAAGCUUUGCUAAUACCGCAUACGAUCUACGGAUGAAAGCGGGGGAUCUUCGGACCUCGCGCGGACGGAGCGGCCGAUGGCAGAUUAGGUAGUUGGUGGGAUAAAAGCUUACCAAGCCGACGAUCUGUAGCUGGUCUGAGAGGAUGAUCAGCCACACUGGGACUGAGACACGGCCCAGACUCCUACGGGAGGCAGCAGUGGGGAAUUUUGGACAAUGGGCGCAAGCCUGAUCCAGCCAUGCCGCGUGCAGGAUGAAGGCCUUCGGGUUGUAAACUGCUUUUGUACGGAACGAAAAGGUGCCUUCUAAUAAAGGGCGCUCAUGACGGUACCGUAAGAAUAAGCACCGGCUAACUACGUG
rnacentral:rRNA from 1 species